rnacentral:rRNA from 1 species
UAUGUGAUCGUCUCUCGCAUAUCAAUAAGCGGAGGAAAAGAAACUAACAAGGAUUCCCCUAGUAACGGCGAGUGAAGCGGGAAGAGCUCAAAUUUGAAAUCUUAAAGGGUUUCCCUUUACGAAUUGUAGUUUAAAGAAGUGUUUUCUGUUGAGGUUUUGGUAAAAGUUCUUUGGAAUAGGACAUCAUAGAGGGUGAGAAUCCCGUAUUUGACCUUUACUUUCAACUUUGUGAUACACUUUCAAAGAGUCGGAUUGUUUGGGAAUGCAGUCCAAAAUGGGUGGUAGAUUUCAUCUAAAGCUAAAUAUUGGCGAGAGACCGAUAGCGAACAAGUACCGUGAGGGAAAGAUGAAAAGAACUUUGAAAAGAGAGUUAAACAGUACGUGAAAUUGUCAAAAGGGAAGCGUUUGACACCAGUGUUGUUUUUCUGAAAAUCAAUUAAAGAACUGUUUAUGCUAAGCUGUUUAGACUUUAUCAGCUAUCUGUUUAGUUUUGAGCUUUUCUUUAAUGCACUUUUCAGUUAACAAGUCAACAUCAAUUUCUUUUGCUGUAAAAAAGCUUGAGGAAGGUGGCUUGAGAUUCGUCUUAAGUGUUUAUAGCCUCUUGCCUAUGCAGUCGGAGAGAUUGAGGUCUGCAGCGUAGAUCCUUCGGGGCUAAAUGCAUUUGUGCUAAGUUAUAGCAUUUUAUAGACAACUUGUUGACUAUGAUUUGUCUUGUAGCUUACUCGCUUGUGUUAUUUUACCUACGCUUAGGAUGUUGAUAUGCAUGACUGAUAU